rnacentral:snRNA from 1 species
GGAAGUGAGGGUGAUCUAGCUGUGACAUCUCUCAUUCCAUUGACCAUCAGGGUUGAUUCAGCUGAUCUAACUGGCUGGGCCGGUGUCCCCUUCCUCCCUCACUGCUCCAUGUGUGCCCUCCCUAAGCUGUGAACUGGGGUCAAGAAGAGGAAGACUACUUUCCCUGAACGGAGGAGCAUCAGCGCUCUGUCAAGGGUAUACAAGUUGCUGGGUUCCCCUGCUAGCACCUUCAAACAAGUUCUCCAGUCAGGGCUACAGUGAGACUGCCUCAAAAAUAAACAAACAAUAAAUAAAACAAGCAAGCUGCAAAUGGUAACCACUCCUU